UGCGGUACGGUGAAAGUGAAAAUCACACUUGAGGUUACACCAUUUUGAUCUGUGAAAGAGCAAAGCUUUCAGAUCAACCUUGUAAGAAGAUAGUCCUUGAGAUCCAUUGAUUCACAUGGAUGCUAUGUUACAAACCUGAAGACCAAAGGACCUGCAUGACCCUCGUGCUCUCUACACUUACAGUCAAACAUGUAAUCUGAUCUUGCCGGGUCGUGGUUGGACCGGCCUGUCCGGAUA